GGUCUCAUAGCAACACCAGGGCACCGAGCGGAGCUUUUCCAGGGUGGCCAGGCAGGUUAGCAGCUCUCUGGAGACACCAGGACACAGAACAGAGCUUCUCCAGGGACAACAGUAGCGUACCAAGUCUUUUAAGGCAACAGGCAGGACUAACCUUCAAUGAAA